GCUGGAAGAAGAUUGAUUUUCGCUGCCCAGAGAAUACCUGACCAUGGUCGGAAAAGGGUAGAAGGCAUACUGCUUAGAAUCCUAUACCGAAGUGGUCAGACUGACAGACCGAUCAAGUUAGAAAGAAGUCUACACUUUAAAGACAUGUCUCGAUGCCUUCCUCGGGAUCGAAGCAGACCCAACAGCCAUUUUCCUAAUUGAUUGACUGAGAAGGGUAUUCUGCCCUAUUGGUCUUCGGGAUUAUGGUCGAAGCAGAGUAGAUGAAGACCCAACAGCCAUUUUCCUGAUUGAUUGACUGAGAAGGGUAUUCCGCCCUAUUGGUCUUCGGGAUUAUGGUCGAAGCAGAGUAGAUGAAGACCCAACAGCCAUUUUCCUGAUUGAUUGACUGAGAAGGGUAUUCCGCCCUAUUGGUCUUUGGGAUUAUGGUCGCAGCAGACGAAGGCUCACCACAGUGACAGAAAGUUUCACCGAAGUAGAUCCAGAAAUCACACUCCUGAGAAUCCACUGAGGGCACACCGCCCUGUAGACACUUGUCUUCGGAGAUGCCCAUCUAAGGCUGUCAGGUUCAGAUUCAGCACACAAAAUGCACCCAUAUUCCUAAGCAUCCGAAGAAGGUACCUCAUCCUAGGGGUUCUCGGGACUAUGGCGCAAGCAGACGAGGGAGUAAUUCAAGAAUAUAUUCACCCGAGAACACAAAAAAGGCACUCUGCCUUGAGUGUUCUCGCCAACAGCGAAGGACUCGUCACCAAAGCAGAUCUAUAAGCCGCACUCCUGGAAAUCCAAACACUUUGGUAAAUAUUUCCAAGGUCGGUUGACAUUGUGGUCCAAAGCUGAUAAUAGUUAAAGAGAAGCUGAGGAGUCCGACAAAGCCGUUGCAGUUCUUCAGCAGAAGCAGAGUUCGUGGAUAUUGCAUGCAGAUGGAUAUUCUAUUUCGGACAUCAGUAUAGCAGGCUAUCAAGGAGUCGAUCACAAUAACAAUUCCACCGCCGGUGCAUUAUCGA
rnacentral:lncRNA from 1 species